rnacentral:rRNA from 1 species
AUACGGAGGAUGCGAGCGUUAUCCGGAUUUAUUGGGUUUAAAGGGUGCGUAGGCGGUUUUUCAAGUCAGCGGUGAAACGCAAGGGCUCAACCCUUGACCUGCCGUUGAAACUGUUGGACUAGAAUGCGGAUGCUGUGGGAGGAAUGUGUGGUGUAGCGGUGAAAUGCAUAGAUAUCACACAGAACACCGAUUGCGAAGGCAUCUCGCAAAUCCGUGAUUGACGCUGAGGCACGAAAGUGUGGGGAUCAAACAGGAUUAGAUACCCUGGUAGUCCACACUGUAAACGAUGAUAACUCGCUGUCGGCGAUACACAGUCGGUGGCCAAGCGAAAGCGAUAAGUUAUCCACCUGGGGAGUACGACCGCAAGGUUGAAACUCAAAUGAAUUGGCGGGG